GCUGUAAAAGGAAAAAAAAGAAAAACAUUGUUACUCUGCUAUAUUUUCCACAAAAAAACCAUUUAUUAAAGCUCAUAACACAAAAAACAUUCAUAAUUUUUAACUGAAAUUCUGAAUCGUUUGAGCUAAGCCCACCAAUCUAUAAUGCAACAAGAAGAUUCAAGCACAUAGAAGAAGGAAAGGAGUAGACAAAGAGUCAGAGGAAAGAGUGAGAAGGACGACUUACCGCGAGGUCAAUAUUUAUUAACGUUAACCAAGAUUGGAACACAAAGCAAGAAAGAAAAGAUAUUGCAUGUUCAUCAAGCGAGCAUAUAGCGAGGCCCAGGCGAAGGCUUUCCCAACAAGAAAAUAACGAGGCUCAGGAAUGGAGAAACAAAAGAAAAAAUCAUCCUUCUCACCAGGCGAGCCUCAAGCGAGCCAUCUCGCCCAGCGAAGCUUCAUCGAGCACCAAGCGAGACAAGUCAGAGACUUUCUAUAAUCAAAAUGUUCCAUUCUCUCCAAGUGAGGUUGCAGCGAGGAAGCUCGCCAGACGAUCCUUUUACUCGCCAGGUGAGAUAAGGCGGUUUAAGAUGCUGAGUUGGCAUAUACUUCAGGGUGAAGAAAGGUUGCUCGCCAGGUGAGGCAACAACUCGUCAGACGAGAGUAACAUGACACGACCAUUAUAUAUAGUUUCAGAAACAUUUCCUUGAGGAAAGAUGCUUGGAGAAUUUGGAGAGAAAAUAUAACUUUAGAAAGAGAGAUACAUAUAAAAAAGGAGAACUCGAAGAAUACAAGUUGGAUAUCGAUCAAUCGUCAGGAAAUCACCAUUGAUGCUCAUCCAUCUUUAUUUCUUCUCAUUUGUAAUCAAACCUACUAUGACUAGCUAAAUAUAUUUCUUGUUGGGAUUGGAUGUAAUCCAUCAAUAACGUAUGUAUUCAUUAUGAUCAUGGUGUUAUAUAUGAAUUAGUUGUUUAUUGA